rnacentral:rRNA from 1 species
UGCGUAGGCGGGUUUCUAAGUCAGAGGUGAAAGCCUGGAGCUCAACUCCAGAACUGCCUUUGAUACUGGAAGUCUUGAGUAUGGCAGAGGUGAGUGGAACUGCGAGUGUAGAGGUGAAAUUCGUAGAUAUUCGCAAGAACACCAGUGGCGAAGGCGGCUCACUGGGCCAUUACUGACGCCGAGGCACGAAAGCGUGGGGAGCAAACA